AGUGAACGCUGGCGGCGUGCUUAACACAUGCAAGUCGAACGAGAACGGAUUAUAGCUUGCUAUAACUGUCAGCUAAGUGGCGCACGGGUGAGAAAGGUAGCGGUAAUAUACCUCUUAUUAAGGGAUAACAAAUGGAAACGUUUGCUAAUACCUUAUACUCCUUAUUAACACAAGUUAAUAAGUGAAAGAUCUAUUGUUAAGAGAUUAGCCUGUAUUGUAUCAGUUUGUUGGUGGGGUAAUGGCUUACCAAGACUAUGACACAUAACUGGUUUGAGAGGAUGAUCAGUCACACUGGAACUGAGACACGGUCCAGACUCCUACGGGAGGCAGCAGUGGGGAAUAUUGCACAAUGGACGAAAGUCUGAUGCAGCAACGCCGCGUGGAGGAUGACACAUUUCGGUGCGUAAACUCCUUUUAUAUGAGAAGAUAAUGACGGUAUUAUAUGAAUAAGCACCGGCUAACUCCGUGCCAGCAGCCGCCGUAA
rnacentral:rRNA from 1 species